AAAGUUAUCUUCAAACCCAAAACAACUCAGAUCUAUCUUUUGAAACAAAACUUUUACAAUAUAGAUGGAUAGGACAGGGCCUCUAAUUCACAAUGAGGAUAUUUGUAUGUUAUCACUUUUAAAGUUAGAUUUUUAAUUAUUUUCUGAGGUUGAUCCGUUGUUUGCACGGUUGCACAUGAAGGACCUAUCAAAAAUAUGGAUGGUACUAAACAACCAAGGUAAACAUCAUAGCCUAAUAUAUAAUAAAAACCAGGAUCAACCUCUUAUAAUCAGUGGAUGGAUGGAUCUGGAGAAUUAUUAUUCAAUUCCAGGUAACAUCGUUGUGUAUUUAAAUUACUACAGAGACAAUAAUUUUGGGAUCUCUGGGUUUAAAGAGAUAACUUCAUUAGAGGAACUACCAACAUAUCAUAGCAGGUAUCUUUAUCACGAAGGAAUACACGUAUUUGAUGUCGACCUAACACCGAUUAGUGCCACGAUUCUGAAACUAAGACUGCAGCCUGAAUUUGCAUAUGUUUUGAGAGAGCACGAUUAUGAAGUACUGAUAUUGUAUAGUGACAAUGGACAUAGCAAAAUGCUUAAUCUAUUGAAUAUAGAUGAUUCCCAUUGGAAAAAGCUUGGUCAUUAAUGGAAUGUGUUCUACGAGUGGAACCAGUUUAAAGCUGGAGACAUGAUCCAUUUCAGAUUGGACAUUUUCGAUUCGAAAAUAACAUGUCAAGUCUAUAAGGUUUGGCAUCCAUAGGUAAUAGAUGUAGUGCUACAUUGUGUGAUUUGGUAUUGUAAUUUCAAUAUUCAAUGAAAACAUAACAGUUAA